rnacentral:tRNA from 1 species
GGGGUGGUAGCUCAAUGGCUAGAGCAUCUGCCUGUCACGCAGAAGGUUGAGGGUUCGAGUCCCUUCCAUCCCGCCA